AUACAGCUGACGAGUCCAAAAUAGGAUGAAACUCACGUCUUGGAU
rnacentral:hammerhead_ribozyme from 1 species